ensembl:misc_RNA 7SK 7SK RNA
GGAUGUGAGCGCGAUCUGGCUGCGACAUCUGUCACCCCAUUGAUCGCCAGGGUUGAUUCGGCUGAUCUGGCUGGCUAGGCGGGUGUCCCCUUCCUCCCUCACCGCUCCAAGUGCGUCCCUCCCGCAGCUGCGCGCUCGGUCAAGAGGACGACCAUCCCCGCUAGAGGAGGACCAGUCUUCGGUCAAGGGCAUACGAGCAGCUGCGCUCCCCUGCUGGAACCUCCAAACAAGCUCUCAAGAAUAAAUGCUGAUGCCCAGAGUCCAUCUGCUUGACUUCUAGUCAUAGGGAACUCAGCGAUUUACAGCAACUCUCCAGCUAAGUAUAAGAUUAAAAAUUUUAAACAAUUUUU